rnacentral:rRNA from 1 species
UACGUAGGGUGCGAGCGUUGUCCGGAAUUAUUGGGCGUAAAGAGCUUGUAGGCGGUUUGUCGCGUCUGCCGUGAAAAUCCGGGGCUCAACCCCGGACUUGCGGUGGGUACGGGCAGACUAGAGUGUGGUAGGGGAGACUGGAAUUCCUGGUGUAGCGGUGAAAUGCGUAGAUAUCGGGAGGAACACCAGUGGCGAAGGCGACUACCUGGCCUGUUCUUGACGCUGAGGCGCGAAAGCUAGGGGAGCAAACGGG